AGUGAACGCUGGCGGUAGGCCUAACACAUGCAAGUCGAACGGCAGCACAGUAAGAGCUUGCUCUUACGGGUGGCGAGUGGCGGACGGGUGAGGAAUACAUCGGAAUCUACUUUUUCGUGGGGGAUAACGUAGGGAAACUUACGCUAAUACCGCAUACGACCUACGGGUGAAAGCAGGGGAUCUUCGGACCUUGCGCGAUUGAAUGAGCCGAUGUCGGAUUAGCUAGUUGGCGGGGUAAGGCCCACCAAGGCGACGAUCCGUAGCUGGUCUGAGAGGAUGAUCAGCCACACGGGAACUGAGACACGGUCCAGACUCCUACGGGAGGCAGCAGUGGGGAAUAUUGGACAAUGGGCGCAAGCCUGAUCCAGCCAUACCGCGUGGGUGAAGAAGGCCUUCGGGUUGUAAAGCCCUUUUGUUGGGAAAGAAAAGCAGCAGGUUAAUACCCCGCUGUUCUGACGGUACCCAAAGAAUAAGCACCGGCUAACUUCGUG
rnacentral:rRNA from 1 species